rnacentral:rRNA from 1 species
GACGAACGCUGGCGGCGUGCCUAAUACAUGCAAGUAGAACGCUGAAGAGAGGAGCUUGCUCUUCUUGGAUGAGUUGCGAACGGGUGAGUAACGCGUAGGUAACCUGCCUUGUAGCGGGGGAUAACUAUUGGAAACGAUAGCUAAUACCGCAUAACAAUGGAUGACACAUGUCAUUUAUUUGAAAGGGGCAAUUGCUCCACUACAAGAUGGACCUGCGUUGUAUUAGCUAGUAGGUGAGGUAACGGCUCACCUAGGCGACGAUACAUAGCCGACCUGAGAGGGUGAUCGGCCACACUGGGACUGAGACACGGCCCAGACUCCUACGGGAGGCAGCAGUAGGGAAUCUUCGGCAAUGGGGGCAACCCUGACCGAGCAACGCCGCGUGAGUGAAGAAGGUUUUCGGAUCGUNAAGCUCUGUUGUAAGUCAAGAACGAGUGUGAGAGUGGAAAGUUCACACUGUGACGGUAGCUUACCAGAAAGGGACGGCUAACUACGUGCCAGCAGCCGCGGUAAUACGUAGGUCCCGAGCGUUGUCCGGAAUUUAUGGGCGUAAAGCGAGCGCAGCGGUUUGAUAGUCUGAAGUUAAGGCUGUGGCUCAACCAUAGUUCGCUUUGGAAACUGUCAAACUUGAGUGCAGAAGGGGAGAGUGGAAUUCCAUGUGUAGCGGUGAAAUGCGUAGAUAUAUGGAGGAACACCGGUGGCGAAAGCGGCUCUCUGGUCUGUAACUGACGCUGAGGCUCGAAAGCGUGGGGAGCGAACAGGAUUAGAUACCCUGGUAGUCCACGCCGUAAACGAUGAGUGCUAGGUGUUGGAUCCUUUCCGGGAUUCAGUGCCGCAGCUAACGCAUUAAGCACUCCGCCUGGGGAGUACGACCGCAAGGUUGAAACUCAAAGGAAUUGACGGGGGCCCGCACAAGCGGUGGAGCAUGUGGUUUAAUUCGAAGCACGCGAAAGACCCUUACCAGGUCUUGACAUCCCGAUGCUAUUUCUAGAGAUAGAAAGUUACUUCGGUACAUCGGUGACAGGUGGUGCAUGGUUGUCGUCAGCUCGUGUCGUGAGAUGUUGGGUUAAGUCCCGCAACGAGCGCAACCCCUAUUGUUAGUUGCCAUCAUUCAGUUGGGCACUCUAGCGAGACUGCCGGUAAUAAACCGGAGGAAGGUGGGGAUGACGUCAAAUCAUCAUGCCCCUUAUGACCUGGGCUACACACGAGCUACAAUGGUUGGUACAACGAGUUGCGAGUCGGUGACGGCAAGCUAAUCUCUUAAAGCCAAUCUCAGUUCGGAUUGUAGGCUGCAACUCGCCUACAUGAAGUCGGAAUCGCUAGUAAUCGCGGAUCAGCACGCCGCGGUGAAUACGUUCCCGGGCCU